UGACGGUACCCUACUAGAAAGGAGCCGCUAACUUCGUGCCAGAAGCGUCGGUAAUACGGGGGCUCCAAGCGUUAUCCGGUGUUAUUGGGCGUAAAGAGUCGUGUAGGUGGUUGGGUAAGUUAUCUUUCAAAUAUCUUUGCUUAACAAAGAGGAGGGGGAUAAUACUGCUCGACUAGAAUUUUCUCAAGGGAGAUCGGAACUGAGGGAGGAGUAGUGAAAUGCGUUGAUACCCUCGGGAACACCAGUGGCGUAGGCGGAUCUCUGGGAGAAGAUUGACACUGAGACACGAAAGCUAGGGGAGCGAAGCAGAUUAGAGACCUGCGUAGUCCUAGCCGUAAACGCAUGCUUGCUAGCUGCAUGAAUCUACCUUCGGGUGAUAUCGUGUGGCGAAGGUAACCCGUUAAGCAAGCCGCCUGGAAAGUACGGCCGCAAGGCUGAAAUUCAAAGGAAUUGGCGGGGAGGCACACAACCAGUGGAACAUGUGGUUUAAUUCGAGACUAACCGAAGAACCUCACCAGGGUUUGACAUGUAGCUGCACGUCUUAAGAAAUUAAGACUCUCUUGAAGGUGCUACACAGGUGCUGCAUGGCUGUCGUCAGCUCGUUCCGUGAGGAGUGCCCUUAAGUGGGACAACGAGCGCAACCCCUAUUACAUGUUAGAAAUGUCAUGUAAGACUGCCUUGCCAUUUGGCGGGGAGGAAGGAGGGGCAGACGUCAAGUCCGCAUGGUCCUUAUGCCCUGGGCUACACACAUGUUACAAUGAGUACGGCAAUGAGUCUGUCGCGAGCACGUAAGUGUAAGCUAAUCUCUUAAAUGUACUCUCAGUGGGGAUUGAGGUCUGCAACUCGACCUCAUGAACACGGAAUUGGUAGUAAUCGCGGGUCAGCUAUACCGCGGUGAUACGUUCUUGCCUCUUGCACACACCGCCCGUCAAACCAGCAAAGUCGAUUGUAUCCGAACCU
rnacentral:rRNA from 1 species